UGGGGAAUAUUGGACAAUGGGCGCAAGCCUGAUCCAGCCAUGCCGCGUAAGUGAUGAAGGCCCUAGGGUUGUAAAGCUCUUUCACCGGUGAAGAUAAUGACGGUAACCGGAGAAGAAGCCCCGGCUAACUUCGUGCCAGCAGCCGCGGUAAUACGAAGGGGGCUAGCGUUGUUCGGAUUUACUGGGCGUAAAGCGCACGUAGGCGGACUUUUAAGUCAGGGGUGAAAUCCCGGGGCUCAACCCCGGAACUGCCUUUGAUACUGGAAGUCUUGAGUAUGGUAGAGGUGAGUGGAAUUCCGAGUGUAGAGGUGAAAUUCGUAGAUAUUCGGAGGAACACCAGUGGCGAAGGCGGCUCACUGGACCAUUACUGACGCUGAGGUGCGAAAGCGUGGGGAGCAAACAGG
rnacentral:rRNA from 1 species